UAAUGGGUCAGCGACUUAUAUUCUGUAGCAAGGUUAACCGUAUAGGGGAGCCGAAGGGAAACCGAGUCUUAACUGGGCGUUAAGUUGCAGGGUAUAGACCCGAAACCCGGUGAUCUAGCCAUGGGCAGGUUGAAGGUUGGGUAACACUAACUGGAGGACCGAACCGACUAAUGUUGAAAAAUUAGCGGAUGACUUGUGGCUGGGGGUGAAAGGCCAAUCAAACCGGGAGAUAGCUGGUUCUCCCCGAAAGCUAUUUAGGUAGCGCCUCGUGAACUCAUCUUCGGGGGUAGAGCACUGUUUCGGCUAGGGGGUCAUCCCGACUUACCAACCCGAUGCAAACUGCGAAUACCGAAGAAUGUUAUCACGGGAGACACACGGCGGGUGCUAACGUCCGUCGUGAAGAGGGAAACAACCCAGACCGCCAGCUAAGGUCCCAAAGUCACAGUUAAGUGGGAAACGAUGUGGGAAGGCUCAGACAGCCAGGAUGUUGGCUUAGAAGCAGCCAUCAUUUAAAGAAAGCGUAAUAGCUCACUGGUCGAGUCGGCCUGCGCGGAAGAUGUAACGGGGCUAAACUGUGCACCGAAGCUGCGGCAGCGACGCUUAUGCGUUGUUGGGUAGGGGAGCGUUCUGUAAGCCUGCGAAGGUGUCCUGUGAGGGAUGCUGGAGGUAUCAGAAGUGCGAAUGCUGACAUAAGUAACGAUAAUGCGGGUGAAAAGCCCGCUCGCCGGAAGACCAAGGGUUCCUGUCCAACGUUAAUCGGGGCAGGGUGAGUCGACCCCUAAGGCGAGGCCGAAAGGCGUAGUCGAUGGGAAACGGGUUAAUAUUCCCGUACUUGGUGUUACUGCGAAGGGGGGACGGAGAAGGCUAUGUUGGCCGGGCGACGGUUGUCCCGGUUUAAGCGUGUAGGCUGGUUUUCCAGGCAAAUCCGGAAAAUCAAG
rnacentral:rRNA from 2 species